GCCACCGUGGCGCGACCGGUUAGCGCGUUCGGCUGUUAAUCGAAACGCUGGUGGUUCGAGUCCAUUUGGAGGUG
rnacentral:tRNA from 1 species